AGUUACAUUUUCCUGUAUUGUAAAAAAAAAUAUUUAAUAUAAUAUUAAAAUAAUUGUUAAAUAUUCAAAAGGAAUACAAAAUCGCACGUAUCGCUCUAUCACUCUUUCUCCCUGACACGUGCUCGCGCUCCCUCCCCUUAUACGCCGAGUUUGCAUACGUUUUCGCUGCUUAGCAACGCUGCGCCGAGGUUGCCUUUGUAUGAGCUGCUUAGCAACGCUCCGACAUAACGACAUCACGCCACGCGCAGAACAAUGUUCUGACGUAAACAACAUCCUGCCACGCACCGAGCUUGAACUUUAACAAGCUGAUAACAUCUUGCAACGCGCUGAACCUUGCUCUGAUGGAAGCAACACUGCGACGCGCUGAGCUUUCCUUUGUCAAGCGCUCUGUCACACUCACUCACGCACUCACACAAUUAUAACAAACCGGAUGCUUCUACUCCCACCCUCGGCUAUCGUGACGUCAUACAACAAGCUUAUGCUUGCUUCGCCACACGUGUAUACACAAAACACACACAACAGUAGCUCGACGACAAAAAACGAACGGUGGUCGCCUCUCGUUCAGUCAUCCUCACGCUAGACGCACGCAUUCUGACAAAGCAACCAUUCCUUAUCUCUUUCUUUCCUACACAUACACACGCACACAUAACAGUCCUCACGCUAGACGCACGCAUUCUAAUAAAGCAAUCAUUAUUUCUCUUUUUCUUUAACGCCUUUCAACACCCACAUAUAUAUGCUUGUUCCACACUCAGAAAUUCAUAUAUAAAACAUAGUAUAAAAGUAUUUGCAUAGAAAACAAUGUCUCAGUAUAAAGUUAAAUUUAAAGGAAGACUAUUUUCCGAUAUUAUACUAGGUGCAUUCAGUUAACAGUGUAAGGAAAACACUUAUUACGUAUCCGGCUAAGGAUAUCUGAAUUCUUUGCGUAGCCGAUGACUGUCUUCAAUUUGGUUGCGUACCUAAGACAGAAAAUAGUAUAAUAUUGUGCAAUAUUGCUUUAAGGGUCAAGCAACCGUGACCCACCCUACUAACUUUCCAAGAAUACCCACGCUAUGGACUUUUCAGAAAUACCCUACCCCACGAACUUUUCAGAAAUACUAUACAGAAAUACAGUUCGUAGGGUUURUAUUUCUGAAAUGUUCGUAGRGUAGGGUAUUUCUAAAAAGUUCGUAUGGUAGAGUAUUUCUGAAAAGUUCGUGGGGUARUAAAAAACAAACCUAUAUUAAACUGAUUGAUAAAUUGAUUYAUUCCACAGGGGAGGUAA